UUGUCCGCGAAUCCAUGCCAAGAACAGUUAUGAGUGGACGGUGCUCGCGGCGAAAAAAUACCUCGGUCCUGCGAUCGCGAUUCGCGGUGAAAGAUGGUGGCUGUCGAGACGUGGAUACAACGGUGAUCAUAUAAAUUCAGGUCUAAAUUUGAAUCCAAGAGCGAGGACCUUCUGCGUGAAGUUUCUUACGAUUCGAUCAUUUAAGAAGAUGCAUCGUUGGAUUAAAAAUUUCGGUGUUCCUCGCGAAAGAAUUGAAACGAGUUAUCCGGAGAUACCGAAUUGCUCAAUGUCUGUCUGAUGUCUAAUUGCCUCUAAUCUGUUGAUUGUCUAACAGCGAAAUUUCUGAAGAAAUUGAAAAUCCAACAAAUCGAGCGAUUUCGUUAUUCGAGAGUUCGUGCAACUUGAACACAAUAUUAUUCGCGGAUUUUUUUCUUUUCGUUAGAAAGUGGCGUUUUGAGAAGAUUACCUUGAAGAUGAAAUUCCCCAUGACUUCCCGAAGGGCCUCCACUUUCGGCUGUCACUGCUAGCCGAUAUGAGGCCAUAUUUACACGCGGGUUCACAGAACCCCACGUAGCGAACUUUCUUUCUUUCUCCCCGCCUAUAUAUCCUCACCCCUGACACGUUUAUUUCCGACGACACGGCGCAUCUUUCGUUUAUCAUUUACCCCAUUCGCGGUCUUGUGUAUUUUUUCUUCGAUUUCUCGUUUAUAAGCGUCUUCCUUUCGUUCCACCCCUCUUGCCCCGAGAGAAGAAAGAAAGCUCACAGUGGAAAGGCUUAUUUUCACCUUUUUAUAGCCUCGAGCUAGUUUGAUCGAAGAUUGCAAGAUCGUUCGAUUAAAAAGUUCGUAUCAGAUAUACAGAUAUGGCCAACACUCGUCUCAAUUAUUAAUGUGAAACCUCUCUCGAUUCACUCUCUCGAGUUUACCCACUUUUUGCUCUAAUAAAGUCGCCCAGGUUUUAUCUGGAAAUUUUCACCGUAAGCUCUAAUCCGAACAAGGAGAGAAAAUCGAACGAAGACGAACGAUAAAUUCGUCCUACUCGAUUAAAUCCAUAAAUGCAAUUAGUAAGACUCAUCCGAUUUCUGCGUUUAAUUAAGACAUCAGUCUGUUGCGUCUUGCUUCUGAUUUGAUUAAGUACGUGAAAACAUACCGCGUUAGAACGACGGACAAACAUUUUACGGACAACAGAUGCAUUUAGAAAGUAGAAUAUGUAAAUCAAGCACUAAUCUAACAAGCUAACCAUUAUGGAUUAGGUGUAGCUACUCUAUAGCUCGUGUUAUGCGCUUCUUCCUUCAGAGAAUACGUCACUAAUUCCAUGAAUAUUGAUGGUGCUUUUUUAGUGCGUCUUGGUUUCUGUGGAAAUUACAUAAUUGUUUACAUUGCAUAUGGAUUACACUUCUUAAUGCAUCGUUAUCCAAUUGCAUAGCAAUGGCUAUGAUAAUAAGAUAACUGAAAUACGGUAAUAAACGAUUAAAGGGCGCAGAAAAAAACCAAUCGAAGGAACAAAGAAUCAUCGCCGCGUCAAUCAAGGAGAAAUUGUGUUAAGAACAAAUCAAUCUCAUUCAUAGUUCGAUCUAGAAAAAAAAAAAAGAAAAAAAUAUGAAAAUAAUCUUGCUCGAAACUGAGAGAUGAUAAAUCAUAACAUGAUAAUCUGAUAACCAUGAAUAACAACGUAUAAUAUCUGACGAAGACUGAUAUACGCAACGUGGUGAUUAUCGUUUAACGACUGAUUACAUUUUUGGAUGUCAAUCAAAAUUCUUUGAAAAUAAAUUGACAAGAUCAACGACUUGACAUAGAAAAAUAAAAUGCGACGCUAACAAUUGAAUUUGGGUCGGUUCACACUUCACACGCGAAACCUGUAAACCUUCGGAAGCAUGUAUGUACUUAAUUUAUCUUUAAUCUUGAGAGGUUUGUGGCAUUCUAGAUAUUUACUACAUUGUUAACCAGCACAAAUAUGCUUCUGUUUAUACGCACAUCGGUUUACACAAUUAUUAAUCCUAAAACUAAAGAGUAAUAAACAACAAUUUGAAUAAUUUCUUGCAAA